rnacentral:tRNA from 1 species
GGCCAUAUAGUGUAGUGGUUAUCACUCGAGAUUCUGAUUCAUCCGGAGUUUGAAUUCUCGGAACCCAGGUUCGAUCCCUGGUAAGGCCU